UACGUCGGCAGCGAGCGUUGUUCGGAAUUACUGGGCGUAAAGGGUUCGUAGGCGGUGUGGCAAGUCGGAAGGGAAAUCUCCAGGCUCAACUUGGAGGCUGCUCCCGAAACUGCCACGCUAGAGUGCGGGAGAGGCCAGUGGAAGUGCAGGUGUAGCGGUGAAAUGCGUAGAUAUCUGCAGGAACACCCGUGGCGAAGGUGGCUCGCUGGACCGCAACUGACGCUGAGGAACGAAAGCUAGGGGAGCAAACAGG
rnacentral:rRNA from 1 species